GUAGCUUAAAUAAAGCAUAACCCUGAAGAUGUUAGGAUGAACUGUCGCAGGUUCGCGAGCCA
rnacentral:tRNA from 1 species